rnacentral:tRNA from 1 species
CAAAUUAGAGCUUGAUAAAGUGUUUCAUUUACAUUGAAAAGAUAUUAUAAUUAAAUAAUUGAUUUGU